GAUUUUCCAGCAUAUUCAAUGUUGCCUAAGUGGAGCACAGUUGGGAGGACUGCAUGUCCGUAUUGUAGGGAAGAUUUGGAUGCAUUCAUGAUGAUAAGAGGUGAUAAGCAAUCUUGGUUCGACAAUCACCACAAGUUUUUACCUGCUGACCAUCCAUUUCGAAGGAAUAGAAAUGCAUUUAGAAAGAAUAGAUUGGUUACAAAAUUAACCCUCACUGUCCUAUCAGGCACUGAAAUUUUGAAACAAAUUGAUGAUUUGGGGUUAAAGAGGGUUACAGAUCCUGUUGCUGAUGAGACAAACAAUCAUAUUGCGAGGAGUUGUGGAUGGAGAAAAAGAAGCAUUUUUUAGGAUUUACCUUAUUGG
rnacentral:misc_RNA from 1 species